CAGGCAGGGGCCCGCGUGAAGAUUAUGGACGAUGAAGGUGAGAGGUGGAGGGGUCAGGGGAGCGUGAGCGGGUGGAACAGCAUUAAAGAUGGAUGGAUCUGCAAUGCCAUGGCUGGGGGUGUCCCAGGGCAGCCUGCAGGGGCGGGGCCAGCACUGACAGCAACUGACAGCCAGGAGACCAAGCCUGGGAGCGCGGGCCCAGGGUCAGGGCAGAGCCUGACUGCUUCCUGCCUCUUCAUCUCAGAAUUUGCAUACUGCUGGGAAAACUUUGUGUACAGUGAAGGUCAGCCAUUCAUGCCUUGGUACAAAUUCGAUGACAAUUAUGCAUUCCUGCACCGCACGCUAAAGGAGAUUCUCAGAAACCCGAUGGAGGCAAUGUAUCCACACAUAUUCUACUUCCACUUUAAAAACCUACGCAAAGCCUAUGGUCGGAACGAAAGCUGGCUGUGCUUCACCAUGGAAGUUAUGAAGCACCACUCACCUGUCUCCUGGAAGAGGGGCGUCUUCCGAAACCAGGUGGAUCCUGAGACCCAUUGUCAUGCAGAAAGGUGCUUCCUCUCUUGGUUCUGUGACGACAUACUGUCUCCUAACACAAACUACGAGGUCACCUGGUACACAUCUUGGAGCCCUUGCCCAGAGUGUGCAGGGGAGGUGGCCGAGUUCCUGGCCGGGCACAGCAACGUGAAUCUCACCAUCUUCACCGCCCGCCUCUACUAUUUCUGGGAUACAG
rnacentral:sRNA from 1 species